AAACCAACAGGGAUUGCCUUAGUAGCGGCGAGUGAAGCGGCAAAAGCUCAAAUUUGUAAUCUGUCAGCAAUGACCGAGUUGUAAUUUGUAGAUGGUAACUCUGUAAGGAGUCUUUGCUCAAGUUCCCUGGAAUGGGACAUCAUGGAGGGUGACAAUCCCGUGAGGCAUUGACGUACUUGCGUGUAGAGUGCUAUCGAAGAGUCGAGUUGUUUGGGAAUGCAGCUCAAAGUGGGUGGUAGACACCAUCCUAAAGCUACUAAAUAUUGGCGAGAGACCGAUAGCGAACAAGUACUGUGAAGGAAAGAUGAAAAGCACUUUGAAAAGAGAGUGAAAAAGUACGUGAAAUUGCUAAUAUGGAAGGGUAUGACGUUAGACAUGAAGCUUUGGGUUCGGCGGUCUUUCGGGAUCGUUUUGUCCCUUGGCUUUGCACCAGCAUCAGUUUUGGCAGGAGGAUAAACAGUUUGGAAUGUAGCAGCUUGCUGUGUUAUAGACUUACUGCAUACUCUUCGUCGAGACUGAGGUACGCCUUUGUAGGAUGCUGGGGUAAUGACGUCAUACCAC
rnacentral:rRNA from 1 species